rnacentral:rRNA from 1 species
UCGCGAGAGCAAGCGGACCUCAUAAAGUGCGUCGUAGUCCGGAUUGGAGUCUGCAACUCGACUCCAUGAAGUCGGAAUCGCUAGUAAUCGUGGAUCAGAAUGCCACGGUGAAUACGUUCCCGGGCCUUGUACACACCGCCCGUCACACCAUGGGAGUGGGUUGCAAAAGAAGUAGGUAGCUUAACCUUCGGGAGGGCGCUUACCACUUUGUGAUUCAUGACUGGGGUGAAGUCGUAACAAGGUAACCGUAGGGGAACCUGCGGUUGGAUCACCUCCUU